CGAGGGUGAUGAUAGCAAAGCAAACAUGGCGGCCUCUAUUGGAAAGACAUCCUAAGAAUUUGUGGACAGUUGAUGGCAUUGGGAAAAACUCAUCAAUGAUGCAUUUGCAAACUUUAAGAGGUGCUUUGUGGAAAUAAAUCCAAUGCCUGGGUCCAAGACAUAAAAGAUGAUUUUUAUUAUUUGUAAAUGUUGCGAUUUGUAAUACAUUUGUUAUGUUGUAUAUAUGUAUUUGUGAAUUAUUUUGUAUUGCUCAAAUUCUAAAAUAAACAAGAUCUCCACGUAAGGUUUCUUAUUUUUUCUGUGUUUAAAAUAUUUUCAAUAAUAGAGAGCUUGGAUUAAACUGUCAUUUGGGAGGUAAAACUCAGUACCAGCAAAUUUUACAUUAUUGUCAUCUACUGUACUUAAGUUUUUUUUUUUUUUUUUUUGUACAAGCUUGCUUAUUUGGUUGGAACUCGAAAAAUAGAGCUCGAGUAAAAUGUAAAAUUUCAGCAUUUCCCUAAUGCUGGUAUGGAAUUCAAAAAUUAUUUUUUCACAUAGCUCAAAAAAUCAUUUCUGCAGGUAUACCUUCCCAUAGUAGUACAUUCAAAUGCAUAUGCAAUUGCAGAUUCUUGCUUCUUUUUUUUUUUUUUUCAUGUUAGUGCACUUGAAUGCAUAAAUGUUUAUUGCUGGGUUUUUUACUUGAUUUUAGGUCCUUUUUUAUCUUUGAAAAAAAAUUUAAGAAGUAAUUUUUGUUUCGCCAUGUCUCAUAGAAAAAUUUAAGAAGUAAUUUUUGUUUCGUCAUGUCUCGUAGAAGCCGACCUUGAAGAACCAUUGCUUACCAUUUUUUGUGUGAAUGAUUGGAAAGAUCCAAUCGUUUUAGUUCAGAAGUAACAAGUUUUCUGAGCAUUUUUUUAAAUAUUGCUUGUUUUUUCAUUUUUGCUGCAUAUUUUCAUAGUUUUAGUGCAUAUUUCAAUCACUUUUUAUUGAAUAUAACCACAGCUCUAAUUAUACAUUAAAAAAUACUGAUAAUCAAUCUUGUACAUUGUGUAACAACAUGUUAGUACUGUGUAGUGUAUCUAUUGGGUUUUUACUUAUUGAUUUUUAAAAAAUUGAAGUCAGUUAAAAUAUUCUCUUAAUUAAUGCCUUUAUUUUUAAUAUUCCGUAACUGUUACAGUUGAAAUGGUAAGCCUUAAUUCUAAAAGGAAACUCUCUCUUGAAUUAAUUUCUUACCUGUAUUUAUAAUUUAUAGACUAAAGAGAUCCAUUCAUUUAAUUAACAUACUAUAAAACCUGACCAAAUGGGUUAAAUUACUGUGAAUACUAGUAAUUAGGUGCCUGUGCACAUUUUAAAUGGUUACAAAAAGUGUUUCAUUAAGAGUUUUUCCACGUGCUAAUCAUAUGUGGUCACAAUACCGUAAAGUGGUAUAGUUACGGUCCAUCAACAUACUAGUCCUAUAUGGUAACAAAACCGUAAAAUGUUACGUUGUGGUAUCUUUACGGUUUUUUUGACGUACUAGUGGAAUAUGGUUACAAACCCGUAAAAUGUUGUAUUU